UACGUAGGGUCCGAGCGUUAAUCGGAAUUACUGGGCGUAAAGCGUGCGCAGGCGGUUUUGUAAGCCAGAUGUGAAAAUCCCCGAGCUUAACUUGGGAACUGCAUUUGGGACUGCAAAGCUGGAGUACGGCAGAGGGAGGUGGAAUUCCACGUGUAGCAGUGAAAUGCGUAGAGAUGUGGAGGAACACCGAUGGCGAAGGCAGCCUCCUGGGCUAGUACUGACGCUCAUGCACGAAAGCGUGGGGAGCAAACGGG
rnacentral:rRNA from 1 species